UAUUGUGUUUUUUUCAUAAUAAAAGAGAGAAGAAAAAAAAGGUACGCCCGAUCUCAUCUGAUCUCGGAAGUUAAGCAGGGUCGGGCCUGGUAACUACUUGGAUGGGAGACCGCCUGGGUAUACCAGGUGCUGUAAGCA
rnacentral:rRNA from 1 species